GUGGCAGCCGCCGCGGUAAUACGUAGGGUGCAAGCGUUAAUCGGAAUUACUGGGCGUAAAGCGUGCGCAGGCGGCUUGCUAAGACAGGUGUGAAAGCCCCGGGCUUAACCUGGGAAUUGCGCUUGUGACUGGCAGGCUGGAGUGUGGCAGAGGGAGGUGGAAUUCCACGUGUAGCAGUGAAAUGCGUAGAGAUGUGGAGGAACACCGAUGGCGAAGGCAGCCUCCUGGGCCAGCACUGACGCUCAUGCACGAAAGCGUGGGGAGCAAACAGGAUUAGAUACCCCAGUAGUCC
rnacentral:rRNA from 1 species